rnacentral:rRNA from 1 species
CCUACGCGGGGCUGCAGUGGGGGAUAUUGCACAAUGGGGGAAACCCUGAUGCAGCGACGCCGCGUGUGGGAAGACGGUCCUCUGGAUUGUAAACCACUGUCCCCAGGGACGAAGAUGACGGUACCUGGGGAGGAAGCUCCGGCUAACUACGUGCCAGCAGCCGCGGUAAUACGUAGGGAGCGAGCGUUGUCCGGAAUUACUGGGUGUAAAGGGAGCGUAGGCGGGGAUGCAAGUUGGGUGUCAAAACUACCGGCUCAACUGGUAGUCGCACUCAAAACUGCAGCUCUUGAGGGAAGUAGAGGCGGGCGGAAUUCCUAGUGUAGCGGUGAAAUGCGUAGAUAUUAGGAGGAACACCAGUGGCGAAGGCGGCCUGCUGGGCUUUUACUGACGCUGAGGCUCGAAAGUGUGGGGAGCAAACAGGAUUAGAUACCCGAGUAGUC